rnacentral:misc_RNA from 1 species
UCGUUAAUUAAUUUUAUUUUCCUGUUUUAGAAAUAAAUGUUUCUGUAUAUUACCGUUAAGGUAGCGCUUCAACGAUAAAAAUGCUGAUAUAUCAAAAUUUACGUUAUUUAGGGCACGUGGGGAGUUCCGGUGACAGAAUGCCACACGAGGACAGGAUCUGUCUACCCUCUUGUCAAUCUAAAAAUCUACAAGUUGUACCUGAGUGACUGUAAAAAUGGCAAAAUUGACUUUGUAUGUAAGGCGUCAUUUAAACAAAUGUGGAGGCAGCAUUUCUCAAAGGUUAUCAUCCCGAAGCAAAACAAAUUUACUAAAUGUGGCGUAUGUACACUGUUAAAACAUUCUCUAAGAAAUACACAAGAUGUCAAGGAAAGAGAGAAGUUAUCAGUUAAAAGAAAAGUACUCCUCGAACAGCAAUGUGCAGAAAGAAAUCACUAUUAUGCCAACCGACUAAAAGCAGAGUUAGAGCCUGAGAAAUAUCUUUCACUGAUAGUUGACGGUAUGGACCAGGCAAAGGCAAAUCUUCCUCAUGUGACUACCAUAUCAAAAACAGAACAAUCCCACUACCUAAAUCUCAUGUUACUGGUGCGAUUUCCCAUUGGCAUAGAAGAGUGUUCAGCUUCGUAGACCUCCUACAGUGGAAGCACAAUACUAAUCUUACCCUCAAUGUUCUACUUCAAAUAUUCUUGAGAAUCGCAAAGAUAAUAGCAGGUAAAAAAAGAAGAACGACUANUAAGCCAGAAGCUGGAUCAAGUACUAAGAAGAAAGUAAAAUCUAAGAAAAGGGGAAGACCGCCAAAACAGAAGAAGUAAUCAUCAAAUAGUGCGGUUUGCAUCAAGAAUUACGAAUUAAUUCGUAUUACUAGCCGAGUUAAAAUAUUGUAAAAACUUUCUCAUGNCGUGAAGCGGUAGUGCCAAUCGCGCAUUUGUUAU